AUGGAACACAGUGUGUUCUCAAAACUUGUAAUCAAAUGUAAAUGGAGAGAAAGACCACAGUCCCAACACUCACCUGUUGAGUCGAAUUCAAUUGGCUGGCAGUGGCGGCUGGAGGACCAAUCACAUUUGAGCACCUGCCCUCCUUCCACGAUGCCGGGCUGGGUGGUGUUGGCUUUGGGGGCACCCACCAGAAGAAACAUCCUGCUGGUAGGGUGGGAGGAGGCCGGUGACGAGAGAUUUCACUGCCUUGCAGAUCUGAAGCCAAGCAACUCAGUUUCAGAAGUCUUCACCUUUGAACUGAUAAAGUCUCUCUCCCUCCAAGAGUCUGCCCACGGACCCUCAGGACGCCAAAACCCGGCUGUUCCGCCCCACUCAGAGGCCCCUCACACUCCACUGAGGUUUCUGUCCACGCACAGGCUCUUAGCACACACGUCAAGAGGUUCAAAAGCUGCGGGGGCGCGGGCACAGAAGAAGGCUGCCAGGAAAAACGAGUGAGAAGGGAGAGGAAGAGGAGGGAGGGAGGGAGAGGAGGAGGGGGACAGAGGAGGAGAGAAGGCGGAGUGAGAAGCAAGCGGGCAGCACCAGCGGUAGGGAGCCCUUGUGGUCCACACGCGCCCCUCCACAGUGUGCUGGGCCCAGCUCCGGACUCCGCCUGGCUCCGGGAAGGGCACCCGGCCAAACGAUGACAAGCACAUUUUUCAAACCCUCCAAACGAACUCAGUUAUUUGGUGGCUUUUGGCAGGGCCCUUUCCAUGAUAAAGCAGGUUUCGUCUGCUUAGCUGACUCUGGGUGACCAGUGGACCUUGACCCAAAGGGACUCCUGAAGAAAAUGUGCCCGGAUAGAGGAAAUAAAGUGUGUAAAAUAGCGCUGAAUGUUACUUCUGAGAUCCAAUUCCAGUUUCAGGUUUACUCUCGUUUAAGAAAAAAGUUACUGAGUUGGCAAUUGCAUGAUGCAGAACAGAAGCAGUUGCUACAAAUUCCGUACAUUGUCCCUUCUCCAAUGUCCUACAAACCUGGGGCCUUCAAGGGGAGGAACCUAAGGUUUGCUUUCUAAAUAAAGACAAUAGCCUGUGUGCACAUUAAGUAUGCUGCAUUUUAUGCAAAUGAGCUGGCUCACUUCGUGAAGUGUUAUGACCACAUCUUCAAAGGUGAAGGGGGAAAUGGAGGUGACAGAGUACAGGGAGCCUUAACCCAGUUUAAGCUGUCCUGGCUUUCUCUCUGGCAACAGAGGCACUGCUGAGGCAAUGGCAGCAGCUGAGUGUCAGGAUCAAAGAGAUGUUUCUGAAAUGUAGAACGAACAGAAACAGAAGAGGCCUGGCGGGUCCAAGAGGCCAAGAGGUUAGGGAGGAAGUGGGUGACACCAGGUCACAGCUAUACUGACCCUGGCAAGUCUCGGAGGUGGCAGAGUGGAAAGAAUACCUUAACUAGGAGGAAUCUGGGAGACCUUCAGCCUGGUGACUAAGUACUGACUAAUCCUGGAGGAGUACAGCAGGAGAGACAAAGAAAAAUAGAAAAUGAGAAGGAGGAAUAUGAAAUCAUCUCCAGGGCAAUAGAGAAAAUGAUGGCACUAUUAAUAGAAAUGAAGGUGAACCUGACAUCUUUCCGUGAAAAGAGUUCGUUUUUAGUCUAAUGAGUUAAGGUGCAGUCAAGAAGAAAUGGCGCACAAUCCACUGGAAUAUCAAGUUAAGACUCCACUUUUGGAUCUGAGAUACAGUAAGGUGGCAGUGUAAUUUAAAAACAUUUCCAAAGCUGGACAUGGUGGCGCAGGCCUGUAACCUCAGCACUCUACUCUGGGAGGCUGAGGCAGGAGGACCACAAAUUGGAGACCAGGCUGGGCAACUUAGCAAAAUGCUAUCUCAAAAUUUUUAAAAAGUUAAAAAAAGGGUGGAGAUGUAGCUCAGUGUGAAGGCCCUGGGUUCAAUCCCCAGUAGCAGGCUGCACACAAUCCAUUGGAAUAUCAAGUUAAGACUCCACUUUCGGAUCUGAGAUACAGUAAGGUGGCGGUGUAAUUUAAAAACAUUUCCAAAGCCGGACAUGGUGGUGCAGGCCUGUAAUCUCAGCACUCUACUCUGGGAAGCUGAGGCAGGAGGACCACAAACUGGAGACCAGGCUGGGCAACUUAGCAAAAUGCUGUCUCAAAAUUUUUAAAAAGUUAAAAAAGGCGUGGAGAUGUAGCUCAGUGUGAAGGCCCUGGGUUCAAUCCCCAGUAGCAGGCUGCAGGUGUUGUCAUGUUAGGACUGAGGACAACUGAAGAUUCAAAAGGACCUUUGGAAACCAGCUAGCCCUUGUCUUUGGUGUCACAAGAAGACUCCGUACUGUAGGGAGAACAAAACAAAACAAACCUAUGCUUCUUCCUAAUGAGGGAAAAGGCAAGAAUUUAAAUCCAGGGUCAGCAUUAUUCAUUAUAGCACCAUACUUAUAUGUAAAAUAGAAACUAUAUAACAUAGUAGCUGGAGAAUACAUGAGGAGAUUAUUUUAUUCAUUUAAAAUUUAAUAUUUGAAGAUAAGAAGCGAGAUCUGAAUUUCUCACACUUUUUGACCCCUACCUCAUAGUCACCUGCUCACACCACUAAGGGUAAAGUCACAGCUGUGACUACCUCACCAUGUGGUUCAGGAACUGGUUCAUGGGAGGAGUUUGGGAAGGUUUAGAGAUGCCAGAUGGAGAAGCACCCUUGGACCACCAUAAGUGGAGCGUGAUGGGAGAUUCUGGUUUUUUGCUUUUGUUUGUUAUCUGAGAUGAGGUGCAGUUCAAGCUGGCCUUAAACUCACUAUGCAGCCCAGGUUAGCCUCAAAAUCAUGACAAUCCUUCUGCCUCAGCCUCCCAAGUGCUGGGAUUACAGUCGUGUGCUGGAAUGCUGAUAAAAAAAAAAUGCAGAUGGUAAAGACCAGACUCAGGAGGGUUCUGCUGCAAACACGGACUGCAUUGGCAAGUGGAUUUCAUGCCAUGUGUGUUAUCCUUUAUCUAUAUUUUGCUCAUGUCCUGAGACUUUGCAGGAGACUGAAAUUAAGAGUGGCAAGACUAAUAUGGUAGAGGAAAUUUCAAGGCAAUCCAUUGUUGAGGCUGUGGCAUGGAUACUGCUUGCCCCCUUUAACCAAGCCUAUUCUGAAAUUCAGGAGCAAAAAACCCUUUUGAAAAGUUUUGAGUUUUGCCAGAAAGGAACCUCUGGUAAACUGAAGCCAGCAGAGAUAAAGCACAGGAGAGUCUGGUUGCUAAAAGAUUAAGAUUUAAAGGAAGCCAAAUACUUUACAACAGGACAAUAGGAAAAAUAGCUUGAGGGCAUGAAAGGAAUCAGCAAGGUUCCACCCUCAAAAUUACAAAAGGGAAAGACUUUCCUUUGGGGAAAAAAGCCCCAGGGCACCAUGCUGGAGAAGGGGCACCCAGAGAAUCUGUUGCCUAGGGUUCAGUUUUUAUCACACUGCACUGCAGGCACUUAGGAGACUCCUACAGCCCCAUACAAGGAAGCCUAGCUACUGCUCAAGCUGGCAGCAGAUCUUGGCGUUGUUGGUGCUGAGUUUAUAGGCAUGGAGAAUGCAGGAUUUGUGAGCUCAGGAAGGCUUCCACUCAGGUUUCAGAAGAAGGCCUGGGAGGCCACACAGUAUGCCCAGGAGAGGACAGUGCAUGAAGCUGUGAGAGUGAAACUAAAAGUGCACUGGAGAUCCCAGGAGGUUGAAGAAGCCUGGAACGUGGAACAUCUGAGGAGAGCCACAGGGAGCGAGCAAAGUCAGCCCAAGACAAACCACGAGGGCUACAGCCACCAGGAGCAUCACAGGGCAGGGCCACCAAGCCCUUUGGAAAUCACGUCUUACCACAUCCCGUCCUGGGUGCUAGACAUGGAACUUUGGAAUUUAAUGUUUAUCCUGCUGGGUUUCAAGUUGCUUUGGUCCAACGUCUUUCUAUCCCCCUGUUCCUCUCUUGGGACAGGCAUGUUUACCACAGGCCAUUGCAUAUUGGAAGUGUUUAACUUUUUUUUAUUUUUACAGGGGCUCACAGCUAAGAGUUUGCCUUAAGUCUCAGGAGACUUUGGACUUUUCAGCAAUGCUGGAACCCUUAGGACUUUGGCAGCUAUUAGAGAUGAACUAAAUGCC
rnacentral:lncRNA from 1 species